rnacentral:tRNA from 1 species
GGUAGGGUAGCAAAGUUAUUGCGGCAGGUUGUAGCCCUGACGACGGGAAAAGUCCCCCCUAUCAA